rnacentral:rRNA from 1 species
UGGGUAGCUGGUCUGAGAGGACGAUCAGCCACAUUGGGACUGAGAUACGGCCAGACUCCUACGGGAGGCAGCAGUGGGGAAUAUUGGACAAUGGACGAAAGUCCGAUCCAGCGACACCGCGUGGGGGAUGAAGGCUUUCGGGUUGUAAACCCCUUUUCUGGGGGAAGAAUAAGGUUGGGAGGAAAUGCCCAUCCGAUGACGGUACUCCAGGAAUAAGCAUCGGCAAACUCCGUGCCAGCAGCCGCGGUAAGACGAGGGAUGCAAGCGUUAUCCGGAAUUACUGGGCGUAAAGGACGUCUAGGCGGUUGGAUAAGUCAUUUGUGAAAUCCCAGGGCUUAACCCUGGAAGGUCUUGUGAUACUGUCCGGCUUGGGUGUAGGAGAGGAGAGCGGAACUCACAGAGUAGCGGUGGAAUGCGUAGAUACUGUGAGGUACCCCGAUGGCGAAGGCAGCUCUCUGGCCUACUACCGACGCUGAAGCGUGAAAGCGUGGGGAGCAAAGGGGAUUAGAUACCCCCGUAGUCCACGCCCCAAACGAUGUUCACUUGGUGUCGGGAGCCUAUAUAUCUCGGUGCCGGAGCUAACGCGUUAAGUGAACCGCCUGAGGAGUACGGCCGCAAGGCUAAAACUCAAGAGAAUUGACGGGUCCCCGCACAAGCGGUGGAGCACGUGGUUUAAUUCGAUAAGCGAAGAACCUCACCUGGGCUUGACAUACUAGUGGUAGGAACCUGAAAGGGUAACGACCCUGCCUUCGGGUAGGGAGCUAAUACAGGUGAUGCAUGGCUGUCGUCAGCUCGUGUCGUGGGAUGUAGGGUUAAGUCCCGAAACGAGCGCAACCCUUGUCGCUAGUUGCCAGCGGGUAAUGCCGGGGACUCUAGCGAGACUGCUGGUGAAUAGCCGGAGGAAGGCGGGGAUGACGUCAAGUCAUCAUGUCCCUUAUGCCCAGGGCGACACACAUGCUACAAUGGGAGGUACAAAGGGUUGCAAUACCGCAAGGUGGAGCCAAUCUCAAAAAACCUUCCCCAGUUCGGAUUGUGGUCUGCAACUCGACCACAUGAAGCCGGAAUCGCUAGUAAUCGUAGGUCAGCCAUACUACGGUGAAUAUGUACUCGGGGAUUGUACACACCGCCCGUCACACCAACCGAGUGGGGGGUACCUGAAGUCGCUCUUUUGAGGGCGCCUAAGGUAACCUUCGCAAGAGGGGUGAAGUCGUAACAAGGUA